rnacentral:misc_RNA from 1 species
AUGACUUUGAUGCCCCAACCCAUCGGCAGCAAAAAGCACAACCAGACACUGAUGCUGUAGCUGGGUUACCCAUAAUUGAAAAGGAAAUCAACACAAGGGAAAACAAUGUGGCAAAAAUUAAAGUAGUGGUGCGCAAAAGACCAUUAAACAAGAAAGAAAUUUCUCGGAAGGAGGAUGACAUUGUCACUGUAUCUGACAAUGCUUCUCUUUCUGUUCAUGAACCCAAAUUAAAGGUGGACUUGACUGCUUAUGUGGAGAAGCAUGAAUUCUGUUUUGAUGCUGUUCUAGAUGAGUACAUAACAAAUGAUGAGGUUUAUCGCGCCACCGUGGAGCCAAUUAUUCCUACCAUCUUUCAGCGCACAAAAGCAACAUGUUUUGCUUAUGGCCAGACAGGUAGUGGUAAGACAUACACAAUGCAACCAUUGCCUCUCAGAGCUGCAGAGGAU